UUAUGAAAAGGAGAAAGGGUUUUUUUUAUAGGUUAAGAGGUUGUUAAGGGGGGUUUGCUUUCUGGCUCUCAGGGCUUAUAGUAGGUUCUGUUCUAAGGUAUUCCCUUUCAUUAGCUACGCGAGACCAGACCUUGACUGAAAGUAAAGGAGAAGGGACGAGUGGCUCUGAUAGCGCAUAGAAGGCUGUUUUUGAUAGCACCGAAGAACCAGUUGCCACUCACUGGCUCCAUAUCUCCUUCCCUUUUUCUCGGUCCCCCCAGAAAAGUGAUAUAUAUUAUAUAUAUAUUAUUCCCCCCACAAUUCUGUACUAUAGCUAUCUAGCUGACGAGUUUACCCUAGCUCUUGUGCUCCGGGGAAAAAUCAGGGAAAGUGUCUAAAAAAGGAAGCAGAGGUUCUUCACUUCACGUGACAUAGUUACGCUCAGGUUUCAC
rnacentral:lncRNA from 1 species